rnacentral:rRNA from 1 species
AGAGCGCAUGAAGGAUGCCUUGGCACCGGUAGGCGAUGAAGGACGUGUAAAGCUGCGAUAAGUCGCGGGGAGCUGCAUACAAGCUUUGAUCCGUGAAUUUCCGAAUGGAGAAAUCCGUCAGAAGUAAUGUUCUGUCAUCAUAAACUGAAUCCAUAGGUUUAUGAAGCGAGACGCAGUGAAGUGAAACAUCUCAGUAACUGCAGGAAAAGAAAUCAAAAGACAUUCCGCAAGUAGUGGCGAACGAACGCGGAGGAGCCCAAACCAGGCGGCUUGCCGUCUGGGGUUGCGGGACCCCGAUGUGAUAUCACGGAAGUUAGUUGAACGAUCUGGAAAGUUCGUCCAAAGAGGGUGACAGGCCCGUAAACGACAACCGAAGUGAGUCUAGGGGUAUCCCAAGUAGGUCGGCACACGUGAAACUCCGACUGAAUCCGGGGAGACCACUCUCCAAGGCUAAAUACUAACCGGUGACCGAUAGUGAACAAGUACCGCGAGGGAAAGGUGAAAAAGUACCCCUGUUAGGGGAGUGAAAAGUAUCUGAAAUCAUGCGCUUACAAAGUGUGGGAGCCCUUCGGGGUGACCGCAUGCCUUUUGCAUAAUGAGCUUGCGACUUACUUUAUGUAGCGAGGUUAAGCCAGUGGCGAAGCCGAAGCGAAAGCGAGUGCGAAUAGCGCGUCUAGUUGCAUGAAGUAGACCCGAAACUGAGUGAUCUAUCCAUGGUCAGGCUGAAUCUCCGGUAACACGGAGUGGAGGGCCGAACCGGUAAGUGUUGAAAAACUUUCGGAUGAACUGUGGAUAGGAGCGAAAGACCAAUCAAACUCAGUGAUAGCUGGUUCUCUUCGAAAUAUCUUGAGGGAUAGCCUUGCGUUUAAUUAGUGCGUGGGGGUAGAGCUCUGAUUGUUAGAGGGUCCCGACAGGGAUACCAAAAACUGUCAAACUCCAAAUACCACGAUACUGUAUCGCAGGAGUCAGACUGUGGGGGAUAAGCUUCAUAGUCGAGAGGGCAUCAGCCCAGACCGUCAGCUAAGGUCCCUAAUUUAAGCUAAGUGGAUUGAAGGAUGUGGAGUUACGUAAACAACCAGGAUGUUGGCUUAGAGGCAGCCAUCAUUUAAAGAACGCGUAAUAGCGCACUGGUCGAGCGAUUCCGCGCCGAAGAUGAUCGGGACUAAGCUUAAAACCGAAGCUGCGGAUUCUAAGUUUACUUAGAAUGGUAGAAGAGCGUUGUAUGUGGAUCGAAGCCGAUAUGAAAAUGGAGGUGGACUUCAUACAAGUGACCAUGCAAGCAUGAGUAGCGAAAAACCGGAUGAGAAUUCCGGUCACCGAAAGACUAAGGUUUCCUGGGCAAGGUUCGUCCUCUCAGGGUUAGUCGGAACCUAAGGCGAGGCGGAAACGCGUAGUCGAUGGACAAUUGGUUAAUAUUCCAAUACCACCUUAUCGGAGUGAUGGAAGGACGCAGUUGCUAAUGUGAUUCUGGCUAUAUGCCAGUCGAAGAUCAUGGGACGCCGGGGGUUAAAUGACCCGGCAUCAGUCUGAAGAUUGACAGGCGGUGGAUCCUUCGGGUGAAUCCGUUUCACUGAUGCUAUACUGACGAGAAAAGCUCCUAAACGUUGAUGAUAGGGUGUCCGUACCGCAAACCGACACAGGUAGUCGAGGCGAAAAGCCUAAGGUGCGCGAGUGAAACCACUUCAAGGAACUCGGCAAAUUGGCCCCGUAACUUAGGGAGAAGGGGUGCCCGACGGGUGAAAGCCCGGAGGGUUUCAACAAAGAGGCCGCGGCGACUGUUUAACAAAAACACAGCUCUCUGCUAACUCGCAAGAGGAUGUAUAGGGAGUGACACGUGACCAAUGCCGAAAGGUCAAAUGGAUCCGUCAGCAGCAAUGCGAAGCGGUGAUAUGAAGCCCCGGUGAAUGUCGGCCGUAACUAUAACGGUCCUAAGGUAGCGAAAUUCCUUGUCGGGUAAGUUCCGACCUGCACGAAUGGUGUAACGAUCGCGGCACUGUCUCGAAGUGGAGCUCGGCGAAAUUGUAAUUCCGGUGAAAAUGCCGGAUACCUGCAGUAGGACGGAAAGACCCUGUGAACCUUUACUGUAAUCUGAUAUUGGUAUUCGUGUGUUCAUGUGUAGUAUAGGUGGGAGGCUUUGAAGCCGCCGCGCCAGCGGUGGUGGAGUCAUCAGUGAAAUACCACCCUUGAUAACUUGAAUAUCUAACUGAAGCCCGUGAAUCCGGGAUUGGGACAGUGUCAGA